UUUAGCAUCUCUCCCUAACCCAACUCUCUCCCAUCUCUCUCUCCCUCUCUCGUCUCUCUCCCACCUCUCUCUCUCUCUCUCGUCUCUCUCCCUAUAUAUCUCUCUCUUUCCUGUCUCUGAUUCACUGCUACAUUUAUCUCACCUAUACACACAUCUCUCUCUCCCUCAUCUCUCUCUCUCUCUCGUCUCUUUCCCUAUAUAUAUUUCUCUCAUAUCUCUCUGAUUCACUGCUACAUUUAUCUCACCUAUACACACACUCUCCCUGUAUCUAUCUAUCUACACCUCCUCGUUGUUCCCUAUGUCAUCCAUUCUCACACACAUUAAACCACACUCAAACCCUAACU
rnacentral:lncRNA from 1 species